rfam:Colletotrichum gloeosporioides Cg-14 contig00616, whole genome shotgun sequence.
GCCCUUGUAGCUCAAUUGGUAGAGCGUCGGCCUGCAGCCCGUCAAGGGAAAGCUAGCUGAAGGUCGCUGGUUCAAACCCGGCCGAGGGUU